GACGAACGUUGGCGGCGUGCUUAAUACAUGCAAGUCAACUGAAGCAGUGGUAGCAAUAUCGCUGUGGAGGUGGCGCACGGGUGAGUAACACGUAGGUAAUCUGCCUUCAGGUCUGGCAUAACUCCGGGAAACCGGGGCUAAUAGCAGAUGAUGCAGCGGCUCGACAUCGAGACAGUUGUUAAAGCUAUGGCGCCUGAAGAUGAUCCUGCGUCUGAUUAGCUAGUUGGCGGGGUAACGGCCCACCAAGGCAACGAUCAGUAGCUGGUCUGAGAGGAUGAUCAGCCACACUGGAACUGAGACACGGUCCAGACUCCUACGGGAGGCAGCAGUAAGGAAUAUUGCUCAAUGGGAGAAAUCCUGAAGCAGCAACGCCGCGUGAGGGACGAAGGGCUUUUGCUUGUAAACCUCUGUAGUGAGAGAAAAAAAUCCCAAUCUUUGGGACAUGAUGGUAUCUCAAAAGUAAGCCCCGGCUAACUACGUG
rnacentral:rRNA from 1 species